GUCUGGCGCCAUCUCUUCCUCUAGCCACGCCUCCCACUCUCCUCUGCUGUAUCGAGCGACCACUCCUUCUGACACUCCCCCAGCCAAUCACGGCUGGUCCUGCGCAGCCUCUUCCUUUAGCCACGCCUCCCGCUCUCUUCCGCUCUGCAACUCUCCGUCACUCCGCCGGGACCACCUGCCGGCCUGAACUUCAGGGGACCAUGUCAGAGAUCGCGAUUUCCUUUGAACUCCUUCACACUAACAAUAGAUAUUACAGUCUCUUAUAUCCUCUGACAGUUACUAGCUUCCUUGCAGAAGUCUAAAGGGCUAGACUCUUCUCAUAAGGUUUUUGACCCAGGAGGAUCUCUUUCUACCUUUUCAGAUCUUUCCAACAAAUUUUUAUUACCGCACACCCACAGAUCAACAUCAAAGACGACAUUUGGUUGCUGAAGAAGACGGUCACUGUCUUAAAUGUGGAAUUACGAUAGCUGACUUUUCCCAUUGUAUGUGGAAUUGUUUUAAAUUAAAACGUUUUUGGUGCAAGCUAAUUACUGUUAUCAAUUCCAUAUUUCAUACCAAUUUGAUUUUUGACCCAUUAGUAUGUAUGGGGCUACAUUUUCAUAUGUGGGCAUUAAAAAAUGUCAAUAACCAUGCUUUUCCCUUACUCAUUACGAUUAUAACAGUAGCCAGAAAAUGCGUAUUGAUCCACUGGACCAAAAAAUCAGCUCCGCAAUUACUUGAAGUGAAACAAAAACUUCUUCAAAUAUUGUAUUUUGAAGUAAAAUAUGCAAGAUUAGACAUACACUCAGGAGUACAAUUUUUUUUAAUCAAAAAUGGUCUUUAUUGAUAAUCUUGACAUACAUAUGGAAACGCAUAUUUUAACCUGUUUUGAACAUGUAUAUUCUAAGUAUGAUAUUUCAGUUAGGCCUUAGUAUGUUAAAUAACCUGGUAAAAUGAUGAGCGCU